GAUGAACGCUGGCUGUGUGCCUAAUACAUGCAUGUCGAGCGGAAGUAGCAAUACUUUAGCGGCGAAUGGGUGAGUAACACGUGCUUAAUCUACCUCUUAGAUUGGAAUACCUAAUGGAAACAUUGGUUAAUGCCGGAUACGCAUGGAGUCGCAUGACUCCGUUGUGAAAGGGGCCUUUAAAGCUCCACUAAGAGAUGAGGGUGCGGAACAUUAGCUAGUUGGUGAGGUAACGGCCCACCAAGGCUAUGAUGUUUAGCCGGGUCGAGAGACUGAACGGCCACAUUGGGACUGAGAUACGGCCCAAACUCCUACGGGAGGCAGCAGUAGGGAAUAUUCCACAAUGAGCGAAAGCUUGAUGGAGCGACACAGCGUGCACGAUGAAGGUCUUAUGGAUUGUAAAGUGCUGUUGCAAGGGAAGAAAAAGUAGUUGAGGAAAUGCUUCUACAUUGACGGUACCUUGUUAGAAAGCGAUGGCUAACUAUGUGCCAGCAGCCGCGGUAAUACAUAGGUCGCAAGUGUUAUCCGGAAUUAUUGGGCGUAAAGCGUUCGUAGGCUGUUUAUUAAGUCUGGAGUCAAAUCCCAGGGCUCAACCCUGGCUCGCUUUGGAUACUGGUAAACUAGAGUUGGAUAGAGGUAAGCGGAAUUCCAUGUGAAGCGGUGAAAUGCGUAGAUAUAUGGAAGAACACCAAAGGCGAAGGCAGCUUACUGGGUUUAUACUGACGCUGANGAACGAAAGCGUGGGGAGCAAACAGG
rnacentral:rRNA from 1 species